GUUGAAACACCGGUUUUCGUCCGAUCACCGAAGUUAAGCAACGUUGAUCCUGUUCACUACAUAGAUGGGUGACCGCUUGGGAAUACCAGGUGCUGGAAG